rnacentral:rRNA from 1 species
AAAGUCUGACCUGCCCUAUGAUUUAUAGUUAAAUGGCCGCGAUACUUUGAUCGUGCAAAGGUAGCAUAAUAAUUAGUUUUUUAAUUGGGAACUGGUAUGAACGGUUGGACGAGGGAAAGGCUGUCUCAGUUUAAUUUAAAUUAGAAUUUUAUAUUUAAGUAAAAAAGCUUAAAUAUCUUUAAAAGACGAGAAGACCCUAUAGAGUUUUAUAUAAAAUUAUAUUUCUAUUAGCUGAAGUAUUAAUAAUUUUAUUAAAUAAUUUUGUAUUUAGUUGGGGUGACUAAAAAAUUAAAAUAACUUUUUUUAUUGAUUUUACAUUGAUUUAUGAAUAAG